rnacentral:tmRNA from 1 species
GGGGAUGCACCGGUUUCGACAAGCAGGAGAAGCCAUGUGCUGCAGGUAGGCGUGAAGGUGCCUCAAACUGACAAAAAAAUAACUGCAAAACGUGAAGAAGACGAACAGUCUGAAAACGAACAGUUUGCACUUGCCGCGUAAGCGGCUGUGCCGGAAUUUCCAGCAUGCUGUUCCUAAUGCUAGAAAAUUCUGUUGCUGACAGGGACUUGCUGUGCUUCAGUCUUGGAUGAGGCGCAGGACUUUUUUCAAGAUAAGGAAAAGACGCCUGUGAAGCCGCUACCUUUUCCCGACAAAUACCUCGCUUCACUAAACCUGUAGAAGCGCAUGGCUUGCCUGCAUGGACGCGGGUUCGACUCCCGCCACCUCCAUUA